AUUGAACGCUGGCGGCAUGCCUUACACAUGCAAGUCGAACGGCAGCACGGGAGCAAUCCUGGUGGCGAGUGGCGAACGGGUGAGUAAUACAUCGGAACGUACCUGGUAGUGGGGGAUAGCCCGGCGAAAGCCGGAUUAAUACCGCAUACGACCUGAGGGUGAAAGCGGGGGAUCGCAAGACCUCGCGCUAUUGGAGCGGCCGAUGGCAGAUUAGGUAGUUGGUGGGGUAAAGGCCUACCAAGCCUACAAUCUGUAGCUGGUUUGAGAGGACGACCAGCCACACUGGGACUGAGACACGGCCCAGACUCCUACGGGAGGCAGCAGUGGGGAAUUUUGGACAAUGGGCGCAAGCCUGAUCCAGCCAUGCCGCGUGCGGGAAGAAGGCCUUCGGGUUGUAAACCGCUUUUGUCAGGGAAGAAAUACUCUGGGCUAAUACCCUGGGGUGAUGACGGUACCUGAAGAAUAAGCACCGGCUAACUACGUGCCAGCAGCCGCAGUAACAC
rnacentral:rRNA from 1 species